rnacentral:tRNA from 1 species
GGGAGUGGAUGGGUUCUGGUGUUCCUUGCGGUCUUCAAAACCGUUUUGAGGGGUUAGUAGCUUCUUAGGUGGGUUCGAUUCCCACACAUUCCCGCCA